AUUUUCUGGAGAGUCCACACUGCACACUGAAGACUCUGAGAUUGAGGAGCUGCAGUUUGUCAGAGAUCAGCUGUGCUUUUCUGGCCUCAGCUCUGAAGUCCAACCCCUCCCAUCUGACAGAGCUGGACCUGGACUACAACAACCUACAGGUUUCAGGAGUGAAGCUGCUGUCUGAUCUUGUGGAGAGUCCACACUGCAGACUGAAGACUCUGAGGUAAGUACAGGGUUGGAGUCAGUCCAUGUUGGCUUCAGCAGUAUUGUACUAAACACGGUUAGUAUCAAAGCAUAGAUCCAGUCUUUCCUGUAAACAGAGACUCUGUUGGACCAUCAAAUCUGAUCUCGUGUUUGUUCUCUCAUUUCAACACUAAAGAACUGAUCAGGUCAUCUUUGUCACAGCUCUCAGAUCAGUCUGACUGAAGCCUGCAAAGAACCAUCAUUACAUUUAGUGACCAUGUGGUCUUUGUACAGAGCAGAACCUCUGCUCCAGUAAGUCCAGUGAUCAAAGCUGAAAGUUAAAGUGAGCAGUGAAUGUCUGUCAGUUUCUGCGGUAAUGGUGUGUUCAGGGACUCUCAGUACUUUACUUCACCUGUGUACUUAAGUGAAAUCUGUCAAGUCAACAGACUUGAUGACCAAAGUCUCUGCAGGUCUGUGAAGCUUCACUCCAACACGUUAACAUGAGAGCUGAGAGGACACUAGCUACACUACCGUACACAGCUGCAGGUCUGAACAGGACUGACGUCCCUCCUGGUGUAUCAUCAGUGGAUCUUCACUGCUCUGCUGCUGCUCUGUCCUUCUACACAGUCUCUGCAGAUACACUGACUCCAUUCUUUCUGCUCCACAUUCAACCACCUCCUCCACCUUGACUUGACCUGGACCUGAGUCUGGAUUUCUUUCUUUCUUUCUUUGAUUAUUUCAGUCUGUGCUUCUCUCUGUAUUUCUUUGUGUUGUACACUGUUAAAUAAUGGAGAACUGUCAUUCAUUUUCGCAUUAUGACAACAUUAUUAUUUGGUCCAAUGCAUCUCUGUCUUCUCUUUUUAUGCUGAUCCUAUGCAAUGUAAUUUCGCUCAAAUGUAUACUGUGAAUGUACAGCUGAAUGGCAAUAAAGUCUGUCUAAGUCUAAUGUCUUAUUGCAUAUGUUCUCUGAACACUAAAUGUAACCAACUAAACUAAUAAAUGAGAUCUGACCCAAAUAAAAUGAGCCCCCACCUUGA